CUGAAUGCAGAGCCUGGCUAUAGAGACUUAAACUCCUUGAAGGAAGGAGCCAUGUCUCAUUCAUCUUCGUAUCUCCAAGAUGGACAGGUGCAUUUUGGGAAUAUCAAAUGUGACAGUGUUUGUGGAAGC